rnacentral:misc_RNA from 1 species
GUAGGUGAACCUGCGGAAGGAUCAUUAUUGAAUAUUCUUGAUGGGUUGUAGCUGGCUCUCCGGGGCAUGUGCACACUUGUCUUGACUUAAUUCAUCCACCUGUGCACCUUUUGUAGUCUUGGGGGUUGAAAGCAGUCGACUAUCGGAUGGCUAUAAUAGCCUUUCGGACGUGAGGAAUGCUGAGUGCGAAAGCAUACAGCUCUUCUCAAAUGACUACUCCUCUCCUUCAAGUACUAUGUAUUCAUAUACCACAUAGUAUGUCGUAGAAUGUGAUCAAUGGGAUAAUCAUAUACAACUUUCAGCAACGGAUCUCUUGGCUCUC